UGCUGAAAGCAUCUAAGCAUGAAGCCCCCCUCAAGAUGAGAUUUCCCAUAGCGCAAGCUAGUAAGAUCCCUGAAAGAUGAUCAGGUUGAUAGGUCAGAGGUGGAAGCACGGCGACGUGUGUAGCUGACUGAUACUAAUCGAUCGAGGACUUAACCAAAUU
rnacentral:rRNA from 1 species